CGUGACCGUUCACCUGGUAUCUCACGGCAACGACCUAUGACCUGUCCCCCUCAGCAUGGUCGUAACUCGUAUACCAGCCCUGGCUCGCCCACUCAGAAGGCACGCAAGAGCUUUUCGCCGUCCUUGCUCCGGAAAACCCUCUCCCCACGAUCUGUGCGACGCAAGAAGUUAGAGCAGUGCCAGCGGAUGUGGUCACUGGAGGACCGCUGCAAUGGGUGUGGCUUCCCCAUGAAUGACGAGCGGGUUUCUGUGAAAGGAGAUUUGUACCAUUUGACGUGUUUUAAAUGCUCAAGAUGUGACACGCCUCUAACACUGAAGAGCUACAGAAAGCAGGCUAUGGACAGCCAACUGUAUUGUGAGGCCCACCUGUCCGAGACGUCCACCCCUAGUCCUGACACUGACGAUAAGAAUGCUGACCUGUUUGAGAUGUUGGAGCGGCUGCAGGGCAAGCGUAUUGAUGACCAGCGCUGUGACAUGUCCGCGUUCUUCAAGGGACCUGAUUUCUUUGACACACUUUUAAAAAUCCAAAGUCGGCGCUAUGAGGACCAACGUUGUACCAUGCCCAUUCCCAAAACACCUCAGAAUUCUAUAUCUACACAAGAAACGGAAGAAAAUAACAAUAUUAAAGAGAUUCUACAAAAGCCAGGGCCAUACCCCAUGGUUGUGCUGCCAUCUUGUGGUGGCUACUGGAUAGAGGGGACAGAACUGGACGGAAUGCAAACAUCACUUGUGUCAUCAUUACAUUCUUCACAGUACGGCUUGGAUCUCGAUGAGACUGCUCACUGUUACAGAGAACAUUUUUUAGGAAAAGAACACUUCAACUACUACGCAGCAGACGACAAUGUGGGACCAGUAGUAUUAUCUCUCAAACACGAACCCGAGUCUGACGACAACAUCCGAGCAGUUCUCAGAACGCGGUUUGGCACAAAACACGAAGUAGUGCCUCCUUCCAAGUUUGAUCAACCAAAUCCAGUCAAAGUGGCCAAGUGUUUAUGUGAUGAACUGACAACCGACAGAUUUCAUCCAGUUUUGUCACUGAAGGGAUCAGAACUUAUCGUCUCUUAUGAUGAACAUGUUUUAACCAACACCUUUAAGUUUGGAAUUAUUUAUCAAACAUUUGGUCAGACGUGUGAAGAAGAUUUGUUUGGUAAUGUGGGCCACAGCCCCGCAAUGGAGGAAUUCCUCGAUCUCAUCGGUGAACGGGUACAACUCCGAGAAUUUACAGGGUUUCGUGGUGGGCUGGACACACUACAUGGACAGACUGGGUCUGAGUCUGUGUUCACACAUUUCCGAGAAAGUGAAAUAAUGUUCCAUGUGUCGACGCUACUCCCCCACACUGAGGCAGACCCUCAACAGUUACAACGGAAGCGUCACAUAGGAAACGACAUCGUGGCCAUCGUCUUUCAGGAGGAGAACACGCCGUUCAUCCCCAACAUGAUCGCCUCGCACUUCCUCCACGCCUACAUCAUCGUCCAGCCAGUCAACGCCAACACCGACCACACCAAGUACAAGGUGUGUGUGGCAGCCAGAAAGGAUGUUCCAAAGUUCAGUCCUACCCUUCCCACCCCAGCAGUAUUCAACAAGGGACCAGAAUUCCGAAACUUCCUCCUGACUAAGCUAAUCAAUGCUGAACUGGCCUGCUACAAGUCACAGCAGUUUGCUAAACUACGGGAACGGACACGGACCUCGUUAUUACAGUCCCUGUACCACGACCUGUACAAAAGGAAUGUUGAGCUGUUUGGCCUGUCGAGUUUGACUGGCAGUAAACAGGAGGGCAGUCGACUGUUUGAUUCAGUGAAGCGUGCGUUUAGUGGCAAGGUGCGCAGUCAGUCGUUUGAGUCGAAUCUUCCCAGCAGCACGAAGAAGGUCAACGGAUCACUGCCCACGGUCGGAGAGGAUGAUAAAAAUCCACCGUCACCGGUUAAAAAGUCUCCCUCCACUCCUAGAAGUCUUGUAAAGCAGUUCGCAGGGGACAAGAAAUCCAAAGACAAAUCUUCUCGACCAGAAAGUCUGGGUAGUGUAAGUGCAUCGUCGUAUACAACAAGCAGUCCACUACCUAGCCCACACUCGAGUCCCAGCAGUAUUUCAUCGACCACUAGAAUAAAUCCAAGCUGUGUUCAGUUGUCGCCCUCCAACUCUGAGAGCAGUUUCAACAGUAUAGAUGAUUUCACGCCCACACACAACCACGUUAAUGACCACGCCCACGACCAUGAUGAUUCCGACACUGGCAUGUUGACCCAAUUACAAGACAGGCUGAGUUUUUGAAAGCAGAAGUUGCACGGCUCAAGAAUGAAAAGAUCGAUUUGCUACGACAAAAUGUGACAAGUCAGAAGGAGAUAAAGAAGCUGAAGGACCAGGAACUGAAGCUGAUGACAGACCUCGCUCAACUGACUCGGCAGCUACACAGACGGAAACCACCCAUCAUCGAGAUCAGCCCUGAGGCUACAGUGUAGUCCAAC
rnacentral:misc_RNA from 1 species